UUUGACGGUGACGGUGCAAAGCGUUCAUUAAAAUUAUUGAAUUUUGCAUCGAUCGUAUUCUUCCUGAAAUUUAACCCUAACAAUAUUAUCAUUGCAGCUCAAGUGUUGUAAAGCUCCCCAAAAUGUUGUCCUAGCCUUAAUUCCCAUAAGGAAAGCGCCAUUACCAGCAGACCCGAAACGAAAACAACAUUAUAAUGUGCUAGAUUGUCAAAGUUUUAAUAUGUUCACUUGUACCUAUUAGGGUAUUCGUUUUAAUGAAAAGUAUGCUUAGAGAAAGAACGUUAGUCUACCAAUCAUUAAUAAUAAAAGUCUUAAAACUUUGGAAACCAG